rnacentral:lncRNA from 1 species
AUACCCCAAAUCUCCUAAGGGUAUUUAAGUCUUUUUAAUUUUUAGUGAUCCUUUUUACCCUAAUAUAAAUAGAACAAGAUGUCUUUUUCAUUAUAAGAGAGAGAAAAAGAGGGAUCGGUUGAAAAAGAGAGAUGGAGAGACAAGAGAGAAAAGAAAAGAAAAAAGAGAAGAAGAAAGUCUUCUUCUUCUUCUUAGUUUUGCCAUAGACAACACAUUGGAUCAAGUUGUUAUUGUUGGGAGAAGUUUUGGAGGUACGUUUUAAUUAUUGGUUUCUAUUAACUUGUUGUGGAGAAGCAUGAUUGCAAUAGAAGUAGAAAUCAAAGAUUUUACAUAAAUAUGCUGACAGUGAAUCAUUACGAAAAUCAUAGUAAUUUAUACAAAUUGAUUUUGAUUCUGUUUUUUGGGUAUGUUAAACUAGACAUUGUCUAAUAUGUUUUGAAACUUGUUUCAAGUUAAUCGGAUAAGAUUUCGAUUAAUUAUGAUUUUUCAAAUUCAAGUCUGAAAACCUGGAAAUUUAUGAUUUCAGUGAAUUACGAAAUUAUUUCUACCAUAUCUAGACUCCUUCAAAAAUUAUGAAAUUUGGACCAAUGAUUUUUAUAUAUGUCUAGUAUGAUUCUGGAAAUUUUCAUGAUUUUAUGAUCAAGAAAUAAAUUGUUUUGUAUUUUUAAAGCAAGUGUGUUCAAAACAGAAAACUGUUUGACAGUAUUGAUGAUGUCUGAAACGUGAAUUAUUUUCAAUCGUUUUGGAAGGAAUUAUGUUAUGAAAUUUUUAUCAAUGAACUUUCAAUGUGUCAGCAUAUGGUCUGUAAAAUUUGAGAUUCUUCCAAUAAGAGAAUAAUUUAUUAAAAAUCGGAGAAAUAUGGACUGUUAUGUUUUGAGGGCCGAUUAUUGAGGACAUUUGAGGUUGAGCUUAAGAGUUAUUUAAAUUGAGAUAUUUGAGGACAUUAGAGUUUAUGAUUGAGAUUUGAUUAUAUCUUAUGAGAAUUUAUUGAUGAUUUUAGGUUGAUGGUAUCAGUACGCAUUUGUUACAUGAGGAUGCCAAGAGGUAAGUAAACUAGACUUUAAAACGAAUCACAAUAAAUAAUAUAUAUGUUUGACUUGUAUGAAAAGCCUAUUUUGAUAUGUACGAAUAUGGAUUUAUAUGUCUCUGCUCAUGUGUUUAUGUGAUGUGUUGUUAUGUAAUGGGCGUGAUUAUGUACAUGGGCAUAUAUAUGUGUGAUGGUUCAUUGGCAUGAGCACGAAAAUGCAUUGAGUUUUCUAUGAAUAAGAAAGUGGAUUUUAGCAAAUUGAAUUUAUGUUUUAUGAGAUUUUGCAUUGGGGGCCACCUCUUGAAGUUGUGUGGGGGCCACCUCUUGAGACUAUGCAGGGGCCACCUCUUGAGGGCCAGAGUGCCGCAAAGUGCCACGCAUGGUGCAAAGUGCCACGCACAACACAAAGUGCCACAUUGUAGGAUACGUAUUUCAUCGAAAGAAAAUGAGAAAAUUUGAAAGUGACAGAAAGAGAUUUUUAUGAAUUAAUUUUACAGUAUUUCUAAAAGAUCAUGGCAUAUCAUCCAUUGCAUUAUGUAUAAGUAUGUAUGUAUUUUCUAUAAGAAAAACUAGUUUGCUUACUGAGUUUUGUACUCAUUAUAGUUUAUUGUGAUUCAGUUUCCAGAAGUCAGGAUUGAUUCGUGAUGAGUGACAAGUUGAAGAUGGUAGAUGGUUUGGCUAAAUUUUUUAGUUAUUCCGCUGGCUUUUGUAUUUGAUGCUCGAAUUUUAUUGUUUGUAAAGAGUUAUUUAAAUCAUAUGUGAGUUGUGGACAUAUUUGCCCUUGGAUUUCGGACUGGGGUGUUACA